GGCUCAGGAUGAACGCUAGCGGCAGGCUUAACACAUGCAAGUCGAGGGGCAGCAUGAGACGGAGAUUCGUCAAAGUCUUGAUGGCGACCGGCGCAAGGGUGCGUAACGCGUGAGCAACUUGCCCGUUUCUGGGGAAUAACCGGUGGAAACGCCGACUAAUACCCCCAUGGUAUUGACUUUGGGCAUCCUUAGUCAAUUAAAGAAUUUCGGAAACGGAUAGGCUCGCGUGACAUUAGCUUGAUGGCGGGGUAACGGCCCACCAUGGCGGCGAUGUCUAGGGGUUCUGAGAGGAAGGUCCCCCACACUGGAACUGAGACACGGUCCAGACUCCUACGGGAGGCAGCAGUGAGGAAUAUUGGUCAAUGGUCUGACGACUGAACCAGCCAUGCCGCGUGAAGGUCACGGCCCUAUGGGUCUUAAACUUCUUUUGUAAGGGAGCAAUAAGCUUUACGUGUAGAGUGAUGAGAGUACCUUACGAAUAAGCAUCGGCUAACUCCGUG
rnacentral:rRNA from 1 species